AAAAACCAUAUACCUCCUAAUUGCCUUGGCUGGUUACAACAUCAGUUCUGCUCUCUUUCUGUGAGCAAGAACCUUUCACAUGGCCUCAUCUAGACUCCAGGGGGCAGGGUACAGAACAGUCCCCAGAUAAGUGGUCACUCCCAACCACACCUGUAUAUCACAGGAGGAGGAACUAGCAGACUUUGAUGAGGAAUUAGUUCUAAUGGUUGAUAACAGAGUAGCGUGACUAUAGUUAAUAACAAUGUAUUGUAUAUUUCAAAAUACCUAGUAGACAGGACUUAAAAUGUUCCCAACAAUUAAAAAUGAUAAGUUCUCAGGUGAUGGACAUCCUACAUAAACUGACUUGAUCAUUACACAGUCUACUCUUACAACAAAAUAUCACAUGUACCCCCCAAAAUAUGUACAAAUAUUAUGCAUCAAUAAAAAGAUUACCCAAAAAUGUUUAAGGAAUUUCUAUCUCUUCCUCUCUAGGGAAUUUCAGAUACCCAGGAAUACACCUGCCAGUUAUACACCUGUCACAACAAAUGAGAUAUUGCUCUGAAAUAUGAUAAUGUUUACUCCCUAGAGAAAAUGUAUUGUGUCCUCAUCAUAGAAAACACCUAGAUUAUGUUGUCUCAAAAACAAUCUCAUGAAAAAAAAAUAAUAAUCCCAUCAGAUCAACUGACCACUGAUCUAUGCAGAAUAAUAUAUGCUAUGUUUUUUUAUUUUUUUUUCUUCCCUCUUAGCUGAACAGCCACGGCUGCGUCUCUCAGCAAGUAAACACCAAGGUCUUCCAGAUGAAGAGGGAAGGGUAUCAAAUGAAACUGGACAUGGAGGCCAAUAUCAAAGAAGAAGGAACAGGAGUGGAAUUAACUGGAAGAGGAUCCACUGAAAUCACGAGAGCCAUAACCAAACUCUCAUUUGUGAAAGUGAACCCUUACUUUAGAAGAGGGAUCCCUUUCUUUGGACAGGUGCGCCUAGUGGAUGGGAAAGGUGUCCCUAUGCCAAAUAAAACCAUCUUCAUCACAGCACAUGGAUCUGUCUAUAAAUCCAAUGCUACCACAGAUGAGAAUGGCCUGGCACCAUUCUCCAUCAACACCACCAGUGUUAUGGGCAUCUCUCUUACUGUACAUGUAAGUUAGAAACAAGUUACCAAUGGCAUGAAGUAGCCUUGAAAACAUGGUUGCAACUUAAAAAGUGAUGAAAUUUCCAAAUUUUGUUUAGUCCUACGGAGAGAGAGAAAACUAGCAAUUAGAAACCAAUUUAAUAUCAACUUUUUAUGAGUUUAUGAAAGAGAGGCA
rnacentral:lncRNA from 1 species